UACGAAGGGGGCUAGCGUUGCUCGGAAUCACUGGGCGUAAAGGGCGCGUAGGCGGCUUUGUAAGUUAGAGGUGAAAGCCCGGGGCUCAACCCCGGAACUGCCUUUAAGACUGCAUCGCUUGAAUCCAGGAGAGGUGAGUGGAAUUCCGAGUGUAGAGGUGAAAUUCGUAGAUAUUCGGAAGAACACCAGUGGCGAAGGCGGCUCACUGGCCUGGUAUUGACGCUGAGGUGCGAAAGCGUGGGGAGCAAACAGG
rnacentral:rRNA from 1 species